AGCAAAAGCUGCAAAACCCCUCAGAGAGAGAGAGAGAGAGGAAGACGAGAGAAGCCGUUGGAACGAGGAUCUAGGGUCUCGAUCGCUUGGAUUUUACAGUUUUUAUUCGAAUAGAAGGUCCGACGCCGUUUUCGUUCGUAAUUAAAUCUUCUCGUCCUUUUCGCUGAGAUCGAGGAGGGAUUCUAAUACCUACCUGUUUCCGGUG
rnacentral:lncRNA from 1 species